rnacentral:rRNA from 1 species
CCUACGGGGGGCUGCAGUGGGGAAUUUUGGACAAUGGGGGCAACCCUGAUCCAGCCAUUCCGCGUGAGUGAAGAAGGCCUUCGGGUUGUAAAGCUCUUUCGGCAGGAACGAAACGGUGGGAGCUAAUAUCUUCUACUAAUGACGGUACCUGAAGAAGAAGCACCGGCUAACUACGUGCCAGCAGCCGCGGUAAUACGUAGGGUGCGACUGUUAAUCGGAAUUACUCAGCGGGUGACUUGAGCCAGAGGUGAAAUCCCCGGGCUUAACCUGGGAACUGCAUUUGAAACUAGGUCGCUAGAGUGUAGCAGAGGGGGGUAGAAUUCCACGUGUAGCAGUGAAAUGCGUAGAGAUGUGGAGGAAUACCGAUGGCGAAGGCAGCCCCCUGGGUUAACACUGACGCUCAUGCACGAAAGCGUGGGGAGCAAACAGGAUUAGAUACCCCAGUAGUC